rnacentral:lncRNA from 10 species
GGUUAAUGUGGACUGUGAACUUGAUUGGAUUGAAGGAUGCAAAGUAUUAUUUCUGGGUGUGUCUGUGAUGGUAUUGCCAGAGGAGAUUAACAUUUGAGUCUGUGGACUGGGAGAGGCAGACUCACCCUCAAUCCAGUUGGGCACCAUGUAAUUGGCUGCCAGUGCGGCUAGAAAAAGCAGGCAGAGGAAGGUGGGAUGAGCUGGCUUGCUGAGUCUUUCUGCCUUCGUCGUUCUCCAGUGCUGGAUUCUUCCUGCCCUUGAACACCAGACUCCAGGUUCUUCGGCCUUUGGACUCUUGGACUCACCCCAGUGGUUUGCCAGGGGCUCUCAGGACUUUGGUCACAGACUGAAGGGUACACUGUCGGCUUCCCUACUUUUGAGGUUUUGGGGCUUGGACUGAGCCACCACUGGCUUCCUUGAUCCUCAAUUUGCAGAUGGCCCUAUUGUGGGACUUUUACCUUGUGAUGGUAAAUCCAGCUGCCAUGUCCUGAGCUACCCUAAAGGGAAGGCAAUAUGGCAAGGAAUUGAGGGAGAUUUCCAUCCUACGUCCAGAGAGGAACUAAGUUCCUUGGUCCAACAACCUGCCAACAGCUAUGUGUACAAGCUUGGAAGCAGAUUCUUCUUCCGUCCAGCCUUCAUAUGAGACAGCACCUUCAACCAACAUCCUGACUGCAGCUUUGUGAGAAAGCCUGAGCUAGAGCAACCCAGCUAAGGUGCACACAGAUUCCUGAUGCAAAGAAACUGUGACAAUAAGUGUUAGUUGUUUUAAGCCUCUAAGUAUUUGGGGUCAUUUUCUAUGCAAGAAUACAAAACUAAUGCAAUGCCAUAUGAUUAAGCAAUGAUACUCAUAGGUGUAUAUCUAGUAUACAUAUGUGGAACGUACACUUGGUGCACAUAGCUAUAGCAGCAUUAUUUGUAAUUUAGUGUUCAUAUUAACAUCAUUCAUAAUAGCUAAUAACUAAAAACAAUGAAAAUAUUCAUCAAAAGUAUAAUAAAUAACCUUACUCUUUUCCAUAAUAAGGCAUCAUUUAAACAGAUGCUUUUCUCUUCAGUGGGUGAUGUUUGCUUGUUACUUUAUUUUUAUAACAGAAGUCAUUUAAUAUCUCCUACUGUCUUAAAUUCAAACAUAUUAACAGAAUUUAAAAGGUUCUCCUUUUGUCAUUGUAGCCAGAUACAGCCAAAAGGAAUGUAUUUUUUAUUUCUACAAUAUAUGUACUUUAUAUAUACAAACAUUAUAUAAUGUAUAUGUAUAAACAUACACAAGUGUACAUGCAUAUAUAACGUGUGUGUAUAAAAUGUAUGAGUGGGUAUAUUUUCAAAUACAGAACAGAUAGAAGAAAACUGCUAGUGUUAACCCUUUUCAAUUAUACUUAAUAAAAUAUCUGAAGUACCAGGAUCAUAUUAAAUGUAAAUUUUCAAGAACCCCACUCCUGAACUGUAUUUCUGUGGGUAAUUAGCAAUUCAAGUAAAACACAGAAAUAGCCAUAAAAUGAAGCUCUGCUGAUAUUUACCAAGUUAUUUAUGAAACUAGCUUCCUUAAAGCUCUAAUCCAUGCUUCUCUGCACAUCUGUUUUUCUGGUCACAUGCAUUUUAUCACUUUCUCACCACUCUACCCAUGCCUUAGCACCUGAAAUACCCACAAGGGAUACCACCUGCCAGAGUGUUCUCUUUUUCAUUGCCAGCCAAUUCUGGUUUUUCUAAAGUUUCUUCCCAGGACACAUCUGCUAUCUUUUCUAUAGAAGUCCUUUAAUUUUCACCCAAACCCUGAAUCAUAAAUACAAGUACUGAGGCUAGGCAUGGUGAAACAUGCCUAUAAUCCUAGCACUUUAGGAGCCUGAGGCAGAAUUGCUUGAGCCCAGGAGAUUGAGACUAGCCUGGGCAACACGGCAAGACCCUGUCUCUAUAAUUUUUUUUUUUUAAAUUAGCCAGGCGUGGUGACAUGCAUGUGUAUUCCCAGCCACUUGGGAGGCUGAGGUGGGAGGAUUGCUUGAGGUCGAGGCUGCAGUGAGCCAUGUUCACACCACUGCAUUCUAGCCUGGAGGACAGAGUGAGGCCCUGUCUCAAAAAAAUUAAAUUAAAAUAAUAAUAGUAGAAAAAUUGUAUAGCAUGCUCUUAAUUCCAGGAGGAAAUGACCAUGUAAGAUAUAUUGUACAAAGAUACCUAGAGACAACAAUGAUCACCUAAAAUUGGACAGCCUUUUUAUACCAAAGAGUCAGCAUGCCGCAGUGGAUGGGAUAAGAAUGUAGGCAGUGGACUCAGACUGCUAGCUGCUCUUUGGGCCACUUGUUUAACUUCUCUAAGCCUCAGGUUCCCCCUUGGAAACAUGAAGCCAAUAACAGAAUCUAUCGCUGAAGGCUGUGAGCAAUAAAUGAGAGAUUGUCCAUGAAUAUACUUACGCACAAUGCCUGAGAUAAAGAUAUCAUUCAAUAAGGAUCAGCUUCCAUUUUAAUUAUUUUAUGUUACCAUUGCUAGUGUUAUUCUUAUUUUCCAUAGACUUCUAUCAAUCUAGAUUACUGGAUUCAGAUAGCACAUAUGUGAUGCUUCUUUUGUUCAAUUACCCAUCGCAUCCUUAAAUAAAUAUUUUUGAGCAGCUUCCUUGUUCCUAACAUGAUGCGUGGUUCUAAAAAUAUAGACAAGUGUGGUCUCUGCCCUGUUCAGAACUUCGCACCAUUGUUAGUUUGUUUACAAUGAGACAGUAUAGUCACAUAGAGCAGUCAGCCCGUUGUUACGCUUUCUCAGAGAGGUUGAGAAUAUGCUUGAAAAAGGAAACAGAUUUUGUAUCCUAUGUUAAUAAUUAUGCUCCUGCUGCUGCCUGGAGCUUGAUGGUAAGAAGUAUGCAGGGGUCAUGGUCAGAUUCAGCCCGAGAGAGGGCUGCAUGUUUGAUGCCCAUCACAGGCUCAAGAGGCAAAAGCGUCCGUGCCUUUGAUACGUGUUUACUAUAUAUUUAUUGACUGACUGCAUGGAUUUAAAAAUACAUGAAGAAUCUGGUGAUUGUAUAAUUCCAGAUUAGCUCUUAGUGGGAUUUGUCAUUCCAUGAAGUUUAAAGAAAACAAAAUUAGUCGCAUGAACCCCAGCUGUUGACAUUUUCCCCUGCUUCUUGGCGCCCUAUUAUCUCAGCUGGUCUAGGCAUAUCUCAGCAAUUUACCAUAGUUCUGCAGGCAGCUCUCAGGCCACUUAAGCUGACACUUUGAAAUAUUAGUGGGGAAAUGCUGCAGGUGCAAUGAGCUGGCAGAGAUCCAGCAGCAAGUUUGCAUCAGCCCAGAAUUUUAAAAAGUUUUGUGGACUAUCCCUUAUGUUAUUAAGCUGUUACAAUUAGAGGCAAAAAUCCUAUUUCAUUUGGCAGGCAUCUUGUUUCAUCUGUAAAGCACCAUCAUUCUCCCAGAGAAAAAGAAGGCAUUAUUUCUAGAAUUCCAUUGUGGAUGUGAUCAUCACUGUGCCUGCUAUCAGGAAGCGUUCACAACAAAAGCUGUAUGUGGCAGCUUGACAGGACAGAGAACACUUCUGUGCCCACCAAGGCAGCUCACUCAGGAUUUUCACUGCUGAGAAUGCUUAGAAUGAUUCAGAUACCUCUAGUCUCUCGCAGACAGCCUCACAUGUAGCUCUCUAUGGGUACUUUCUUUUUCUCUAGUACUUUCAUUCAUAUUACUCUUAUUUUCCUUACUAUAUUGUGAUAAUCUCUUACACACCUGGAUUUUAGGUAAAAUGAUUAGCUAAGAUAAGAUGAAAUCACAUAUAAUCAGAAUCACUUUUCAACCCUCUUAAUAUUAGAUGGUAUUAAGGAAUGAUUAUAAAUGUUGUCAGAGGUAAUAUGGGAAUGGUAGUUAUAGAGGAAGAGAAAGUCCUUUUAUCAGCUAGAGAUGCAUACUAGAGGGUGUAUACACAAAAUAACAUGACAUCUGGGAUUUGACUUAAAGUAACACAGCAAAAGGUAACAGUGUAGAAAGUAGGUAAACCAAGAUUGAAAAAAUAUUGAUGUGGAUAAUUAUUGAAACUGGGUAAUGGAUAUGAAGGAGUUCAUUAUAAUAUUCUCUCUACCUUCGUAUAUGUUGGAAAGUUCAUAUAUUCAAAAUAUAAACAAUACUUUAAGCGACCACUUAAGGACUCUGUGUGUGUGUGUGUGUGUGUGUGUGUGCCCGUGUGGGUGUAUACAUACAUAAUUAUUUCAUUCAUUAUGUUCAUUGACAUUUGAGAAAAGUAAGCAACAAGAAUAACAGAGCUGUAUACAGUUUGGGUGUUCUCAAAGCCCAUAGUGGCAAAUCUGGUAUGGGGUUGUUUCCAUUGGGUUCCUGUCUGCUAUUAUGUUUUGCUCCACUUUGGUUUGCUAUUAAAACCCUGUUGUGUCAAUUCAUGUUAUGAUAGAUCUUGUUGCUGCUGAGGAGAUGAAAAGUGAUCAUUUAAGUGAAAAUCCAGAGCCUGGUACACAGUGGCCAUGCAGCAUAUAUUUACUAAACUUGAAUUUGCAUCUUGAUGCGUCAUGCUUAUAUACUUGUCAGGUUCACGACUGCGCCAAUUGUCACGCC